CGACUGUGGGCGGUACUUCCGGGUGGACGAACAAGGGGCUCUGACCACCUGCUACUGCCCUGUGGAAGAAAAUCUGCAGAACGAAAGUGGACUGUACUAUACAGCCAGCAGACAUGGAGCUGUAUUAUCCCUCAGUUGGAGUCGAGUUUCUGACCACCUGAUGAACGUAAGGCCAAUAUUCACUCUCCUGUCAGUUCUCUCUUGCUGUCAACUGAUUCUGGCUGCUAAAUGUUCCUCUAUGUUCACCAGCGUUCACCAGCCAUUUGUUGAAUUGUCUCAGUCCACAGUUGAGUGCUGGAAAGGAAGUGAACAAUUGGUUUAUCAGAGCGACAGGUGCAAACUAAGUUGAAGAGAGCAGAGCUGCAGACUAGCAGAGCAAAAGAAUGAUUCAAGACCUCUUUCACCUUAUACAUACAAAACAGAAAUCAUUCGAUCAAUGUUUACUUGAAAAAACAUUGAUUAGCAUUAGACAGGACCUCAAGAUCAGGUAAUGAUUGAGCCCAUCUCAAGCUCUCAUUCUGCUUUCCAGCAGUUCAGCAAUUUGUUUGUGAAUUACUGACAUUUAAGUGUUGCUGUUAAUUUUGCUGUGCAGGAAUAAAAGAUGAAGUCAGGCUCUCUACACCCUUUUCUUCACAAAUGUUAAUCCGUGCCAUCAAUAUAUAUAAGAAACUGAAGGUUAGUCAUAAUGAAGGGAAUAGAAGCAAAAUACUGAUUUGUGGAAAAAUCUGUGGCUGUGGUAUAUUUUUUCUCUUUUAAGAAAGAAAAUAGGUCAAUGUAUUGCUAAUCAGAGAAUGAUUAACUCUCAAUUUGAAAUUGCAGUUUUGGUGUAUUAGAAGUCACCCAGUGACUCCCGACGUCUUUCAUCAUGAUAACAUGUUCUUGCGAUUAAAUCAGCGCAGUAGGAACAGGUCGAGUUGUGUGUUUAACACUAAAUUCUGCACUGAUUACGCUGACUGCGCCAAUGAAACAGGAUCCCCUCAGGGUCCGCAUGACGAUGCUGCCAACAAGCUGCAGGAUCUGAGUGCCUCUACGGUGGGUCUGACAUAAUCACACUGACAUUGAUGGCGAUGAUUAUCGUCAUCAUCACAGUACAAACGCACUUCCAACGGGCCUGAGGAAAUACUGGUGCUCUUUCUAAUGAGCAUCCGUGUGGCUACUAGCAGCUGAGCUCCUGCUUAAUGUGCCAAAUGAAUGAACAAACAAACAAUCAACAGAAAUGCACAAGUUAAAGACAUUUAUUCAGAAUAUACAGCAACCUACUAGCAAAAAUACUAUCAAUUAAAUUAUGGUUUUAGUCCUUAACGGAACCCAGGCUUCACAGGUAAAUUACAUGGAAGCUGUGUGAUCUUUAGUUUUGAUUGCCAUAAGCGUGAAAUUACAUUUUAAUUGACAUGUUUCACCAAUGUCUCGGUUGACUGAGGGCUCAAAUGUCAUUCAGUGUUUCUUGAAUUGAUCAAGAAUUUCAUGUGCUUUGAAAGUUGUUUCUUUUAACACUAUUAAUAGCAACUUUUUUUUCCUUCUGGGCAAUAAAGUGCUGUUAUACAUAGCCCAUUGGUUUACCUGUAUCUUAAGGCAUGUAGUUCAUUCACUCACAUCACAUGUAUUCUGUGUCUUGGUUUUGUUCCGUGUGAAACCAACAGCGAUGACAUAACAAACACAUUUUGGUUACAUCAUCAAUAAUUAAAAACUACCUUAAUACAUUAAAUGUAUCUGCCCACUCUUUUUUUUUUAGGUUUCUUUGUCUUGAAGGCACUUUGUACAAAUUUGCUACAAACAGUCAAAUUCCAUCUUAACUUAAAGCUACAUCUCA